AGAAAUGUAGCUCAGUUUGGGAGAGCAGCAGUCUCUAAAACCGCGGGGUGGGGGUUCGAGUCCUCCCACUCCAGCCA
rnacentral:tRNA from 1 species